rnacentral:rRNA from 1 species
CUAGUUGUAUUAUUAGUUAAUGCAAGAUCGACUACGUCGACUAAAGUUCUAGGUAGAAUAAUGAUGAUGACAAUUUUUUACCUAUAUGUCUUGACCAAGUCUCGUGCCAGCAGUCGCGGUAAUACGUGGAAGACUAGUGUUAUUCAUCUUUAUUAGGUUUAAAGGGUACCUAGACGGUAUUUCUAGCCCAAAAUAGGGUACGGAUUUACUAGAGUUUUAUGUGAGGAGGGGAGUACUCGUGGAGUAGAGAUGAAAUUUUGUUAUACUAUGAGGUAACUGGUGGCGGCGAAAGCAACCUUCUAUGUAUAAACUGACGUUGAGGGACGAAGGCUUGGGUAGCAAAUAGGAUUAGAUACCCUAGUAGUCCAAGCAGACAAUUCUGAAUGCCAUAGAUUAGAUUAUUUUUGGUCUAUAAAUGAAAGUGUAAGCAUUCCACCUUAGGAGUAAUGUGGCAACACAGGAACUGAAAUCAUUAGACCGUUUCUGAAACCAGUAGUGAAGUAUGUUAUUUAAAUUGAUGGUCCACAAAAAACCUUACCACAACUUGAAUAUUUUUUUUUAUUAAUACAAGCGUUGCACGGCUGUCUUCAGUUAAUGUCGUGAGAUUUUGGUUAACUCCAUUAAUUAACGUAAACCCUUACUU